GUGGUAAUGCCGGAUGCUCCAUCACACUGCAUGGUGUGUUGGGAAAGCCUUUGCGGCAUGGGAUGGGGUCGCGUCCUAUCAGCUUGAUGGCGGGGUAACGGCCCACCAUGGCUUCGACGGGUAGCCGGCCUGAGAGGGCGACCGGCCACAUUGGGACUGAGAUACGGCCCAGACUCCUACGGGAGGCAGCAGUGGGGAAUAUUGCACAAUGGGCGCAAGCCUGAUGCAGCGACGCCGCGUGAGGGAUGGAGGCCUUCGGGUUGUAAACCUCUUUUGUUAGGGAGCAAGGCAUUUUGUGUUGAGUGUACCUUUCGAAUAAGCACCGGCUAACUACGUGCCAGCAGCCGCGGUAAUACGUAGGGUGCAAGCGUUAUCCGGAAUUAUUGGGCGUAAAGGGCUCGUAGGCGGUUCGUCGCGUCCGGUGUGAAAGUCCAUCGCUUAACGGUGGAUCCGCGCCGGGUACGGGCGGGCUUGAGUGCGGUAGGGGAGACUGGAAUUCCCGGUGUAACGGUGGAAUGUGUAGAUAUCGGAAAAAAAACACCA
rnacentral:rRNA from 1 species